ensembl:lncRNA
CUCACAGUGGGGAGAUACACCACCAGUGCUCCGUCUGUGGGAAGUGUUUCCUGCUGUUCCAGGACCUCAAGAGACACCGGGAGAUACACAAAGGUGAGAGAGACACCGGGAGAUACACAAAGGUGAGAGAGACACCGGGAGAUACACAAAGGUGAGAGAGAGACACCGGGAGAUACACAAAGGUGAGAGAGAGACACCGGGAGAUACACAAAGGUGAGAGAGAGACACCGGGAGAUACACAAAGGUGAGAGGGAGACACCGGGAGAUACACAAAGGUGAGAGGGAGACACCGGGAGAUACACAAAGGUGAGAGGGAGACACCGGGAGAUACACAAAGGUGAGAGAGAGAUACACAAAGGUGAGAGAGAGAUACACAAAGGUGAGAGAGAGAUACACAAAGGUGAGAGAGAGAUACACAAAGGUGAGAGAGACUCAAACACACUGAUUCACUGUAGCAAAACGUUUUGCAAUGGAAAGGGAAACAUUUUUGUGCAAAAAUUCUAUUGGACAAAUUCAAGUUCCUUCUCCAUUUUGUUCUGUUUGCUUCCAUUUUUGUUCCUAGUGAAUACACCCCUGAAGUCUAUGCUCACACACUUGGGUCAUAUUCAUUAGGAACCAAACAGAAACAAAUGGGCCCGAAGUAGGAGGGACUAUCCAAUAAUAAUACACUUGUUUUCCGUUUGCAAAACAUUUUGCAACAGUACUUUGCAGCAAUGAACAAGGACCCUGAGAUCUCUGCUGGAACACAGGUGACUUGAAGAAACAUCAACAUAUCCACAGCAGUGCUUCUUUCCAUAAAGUAGCUGGGUAUUUACAUGUGUAUUAUUAUGUAAUAAAC